rnacentral:rRNA from 1 species
UAUUGCACAAUGGGGGGAACCCUGAUGCAGCGACGCCGCGUGGGUGAAGGAGCGUUUCGGCGCGUAAAGCCCUAUCGGCAGGGAAGAAGGAGGACGGUACCUGACUAAGAAGCCCCGGCUAACUACAUGCCAGCAGCCGCGGUAAUACGUAGGGGGCAAGCGUUAUCCGGAUUUACUGGGUGUAAAGGGAGCGUAGACGGCAAUACAAGUCGGAAGUGAAAUACCCGGGCUCAACCUGGGAACUGCUUUGGAAACUGUAUGGCUGGAGUGCUGGAGAGGUAAGCGGAAUUCCUAGUGUAGCGGUGAAAUGCGUAGGUAUUAGGAGGAACACCAGUGGCGAAGGCGGCUUACUGGACAGUAACUGACGUUGAGGCUCGAAAGCGUGGGGAGCAAACAGG